rnacentral:rRNA from 1 species
CACGGGGGGAGCAAGCGUUGUUCGGAAUCACUGGGCGUAAAGGGCGUGCAGGCGGUCAGGUAAGUGGGGUGUGAAAUGCCCCGGCUCACCCGGGGACCGGCAUCUCAUACUGCUUGGCUUGAGUACGGGAGAGGAUGUGGGAAUUCCUGGUGUAGCGGUGAAAUGCGUAGAUAUCAGGAGGAACACCGGUGGCGAAGGCGCACAUCUGGCCCGAUACUGACGCUGAGGCGCGAAAGCUAGGGGAGCAAACGGG